rnacentral:rRNA from 1 species
ACGGAGCAACGCCGCGUGAGGGAGGAAUGUCUGUGGAUUGUAAACCCCUUUUCUCAGGGAAGAAGAUCUGACGGUACCUGAGGAAUCAGCAUCGGCUAACUCCGUGCCAGCAGCCGCGGUAAUACGUAGGGGCCAAGCGUUGUCCGGAAUUACUGGGCGUAAAGCGUCCGCAGGUGGCGAUUCAAGUCUGCUGUCAAAGCACGGGGCUUAACUCCGUUAAGGCAGUGGAAACUGAAUAGCUAGAGUGCCGUAGGGGUAGAGGGAAUUCCCGGUGUAGCGGUGAAAUGCGUAGAGAUCGGGAAGAACAUCGGUGGCGAAAGCGCUCUACUGGACGGCAACUGACACUCAGGGACGAAAGCUAGGGGAGCGAAAGGGAUUAGAUACCCCUGUAGUC